rnacentral:rRNA from 1 species
AGUGGGGAAUCUUGCGCAAUGGACGAAAGUCUGACGCAGCGACGCCGCGUGGGUGAUGAAGGCCUUCGGGUUGUAAAGCCCUGUGGGGAGAGACGAAUAAGGGUUGGCUAACAUCCAGCCCGAUGACGGUAUCUCCUUAGCAAGCACCGGCUAACUCUGUGCCAGCAGCCGCGGUAAGACAGAGGGUGCAAACGUUGUUCGGAAUUACUGGGCGUAAAGCGUGUGUAGGCGGCUUAGCAAGUCGGAUGUGAAAGCCCUGGGCUCAACCCAGGAAGUGCACUCGAUACUGCUGAGCUUGAGUAUCGGAGAGGUUGGUGGAAUUCUCGGUGUAGAGGUGAAAUUCGUAGAUAUCGAGAGGAACACCGGUGGCGAAGGCGGCCAACUGGACGAAUACUGACGCUGAGACACGAAAGCGUGGGGAGCAAA